GUGAGCCCCGAGUCAGUCUCCUGGCCCGGGUCGGUUGGGAGUUUUCUCCUGGGCCCUGUUUCAAAGUCUUCAUUCACUGAGGAACCUGGCCAGGGGCGUGGGGCUUAUGUGACACCAACUAUCCUCACUGUACUCGACAAGCUACACAUUCUACACUAGGCCCCCUUUGACCUGGAUAUUGUAUGUGAAGUCUUGGGUCAAAUGAAAGACAAGCCAAAGGAAAGAGCGUCCCAGUCACAGUGGGGAAUGGCCCACAGAGGCACUGUCAGGCAGAGGUGGGGAUCCGUUCCUCUCAGAGGCCCUGUUCCUGCAGACACACUCUGAAGGUGUCCUGAGCACACGCCAUGACCCUCUUUUGGAUCUUCGAGAGAACCUGGCCACUGUAAUACACCUUAGAGGUUGAAAGCCCUGUCUUUAACAGGACGCUGCAAGAUCGGCUUUCGUUAAGAGAACGUUUUCAGAUAAUGCUCACGCCACGGCCACACACCAGACCUACUACUUCAGACUCUCUGGGGCUGUCCUGCCAGCAUCGGCUCUCCUAAAGCCUCUCCAGGGGAGAUUUGAUGCACAGUUAAGACUGAGGAGCAAAAUCACAUGAGGCUUCACCCAUCCUGGUUUUAAAUAUAAUCCUGAACUG
ensembl:lncRNA